GACGGAGGGUGCUAGUGUUGUUCGGAAUUACUGGGCGUAAAGGGCUCGUAGGUGGCCAACUAAGUCAGACGUGAAAUCCCUCGGCUUAACCGGGGAACUGCGUCUGAUACUGGAUGGCUUGAGUUUGGGAGAGGGAUGCGGAAUUCCAGGUGUAGCGGUGAAAUGCGUAGAUAUCUGGAGGAACACCGGUGGCGAAGGCGGCAUCCUGGACCAACACUGACACUGAGGAGCGAAAGCCAGGGGAGCAAACGGG
rnacentral:rRNA from 1 species